rnacentral:rRNA from 1 species
CAAGUCGAACGCGAAAGCUCCCUUCGGGGAGCAAGUAGAGUGGCGCACGGGUGAGUAACACGUAGGUAAUCUACCUUUGGAUUGGGAAUAACAACCGGAAACGGUUGCUAAUACCGAAUAAUGCAGCGGCACCUAAUGGUGACAGUUGUUAAAGCGGGGGAUCGCAAGACCUCGCGUCUGAAGAGGGGCCUGCGGCGGAUUAGCUAGUUGGUAAGGUAACGGCUUACCAAGGCGAUGAUCCGUAGCCGGCCUGAGAGGGCGGUCGGCCACACUGACACUGACAUACGGGUCAGACUCCUACGGGAGGCAGCAGUCGGGAAUUUUGGGCAAUGGGCGAAAGCCUGACCCAGCAACGCCGCGUGAAGGAUGAAAUCCUUCGGGAUGUAAACUUCGCAAGAACAGGAAGAAUAAGUAAGAGUUAAUAUCUCUUACGAUGACGGUACUGUUUGUAAGCUCCGGCUAACUCCGUGCCAGCAGCCGCGGUAAUACGGGGGGAGCAAGCGUUGUUCGGAUUUACUGGGCGUAAAGGGCGGGUAGGCGGCCACCGCAAGUCAGUUGUGAAAUCUCCGGGCUUAACCCGGAAAGGUCAACUGAUACUGCGGGGCUAGAGUGCAGAAGGGGCAACUGGAAUUCUCGGUGUAGCGGUGAAAUGCGUAGAUAUCGAGAGGAACACCUGCGGCGAAGGCGGGUUGCUGGGCUGACACUGACGCUGAACUGCGAAAGCUAGGGGAGCGAACGGGAUUAGAUACCCCGGUAGUCCUAGCCUUAAACGAUGAAUGCUUGGUGUCUGGGGUUUUAUAGUCCCCGGGUGCCGUCGCUAACGCUUUAAGCAUUCCGCCUGGGGAGUACGGUCGCAAGGCUGAAACUCAAAGGAAUUGACGGGG